rnacentral:rRNA from 1 species
UACGUAGGGUGCAAGCGUUGUCCGGAAUUAUUGGGCGUAUAGAGCUUGUAGGCGGUUUGUCGCGUCUGCUGUGAAAUUUCGGGGCUCAACCCCGAACUUGCAGUGGGUACGGGCAGACUAGAGUGUGGUAGGGGAGACUGGAAUUCCUGGUGUAGCGGUGAAAUGCGCAGAUAUCAGGAGGAACACCGAUGGCGAAGGCAGGUCUCUGGGCCACUACUGACGCUGAGAAGCGAAAGCAUGGGGAGCGAACAGG